ACGAAGCCUUCGGGCUUAGUGGCGGACGGGUGAGUAACGCGUGGGAACGUGCCCUUCUCUACGGAAUAGUCCCGGGAAACUGGGUUUAAUACCGUAUACGCCCUUCGGGGGAAAGAUUUAUCGGAGAAGGAUCGGCCCGCGUUGGAUUAGGUAGUUGGUGGGGUAAUGGCCUACCAAGCCGACGAUCCAUAGCUGGUUUGAGAGGAUGAUCAGCCACACUGGGACUGAGACACGGCCCAGACUCCUACGGGAGGCAGCAGUGGGGAAUCUUAGACAAUGGGGGAAACCCUGAUCUAGCCAUGCCGCGUGAGUGACGAAGGCCCUAGGGUCGUAAAGCUCUUUCACCAGGGAUGAUAAUGACAGUACCUGGAGAAGAAACCCCGGCUAACUCCGUGCCAGCAGCCGCGGUAAUACGGAGGGGGUUAGCGUUGUUCGGAAUUACUGGGCGUAAAGCGCACGUAGGCGGAUUAGUCAGUCAGAGGUGAAAUCCCAGGGCUCAACCUUGGAACUGCCUUUGAUACUGCUAGUCUUGAGUUCGAGAGAGGUGAGUGGAAUUCCGAGUGUAGAGGUGAAAUUCGUAGAUAUUCGGAGGAACACCAGUGGCGAAGGCGGCUCACUGGCUCGAUACUGACGCUGAGGUGCGAAA
rnacentral:rRNA from 1 species